rnacentral:pre_miRNA from 1 species
AGUGGGAUAGCUAGGUCAAAUGGUGGUUCCACUCCAAGUUUUCCAAGGAAUCUUCAUAUUGCUUUCCAUUUUGGCUGCACCAAUUUGUAGUCCCACUAGCAAU